rnacentral:rRNA from 1 species
UACAGAGGAGGCAAGCGUUAUUCGGAAUCACUGGGCUUAAAGCGCGUGUAGGCGGCCCGGCACGUCCGUCGCUGAAAUCCCCCGGCUCAACCGGGGAAGUGGCGUGGAUACGACCGGGCUGGAGGGGGGUAGGGGGAGCCGGAACUUCCGGUGGAGCGGUGAAAUGCGUUGAGAUCGGAAGGAACGCCCGUGGCGAAAGCGGGCUCCUGGACCCCACCUGACGCUGAGACGCGAAAGCCAGGGGAGCGAACGGG